rnacentral:rRNA from 1 species
UACGAAGGUCCCAAGCGUUGUUCGGAAUCACUGGGCGUAAAGGGAGCGUAGGCGGCGUGGUAAGUCAGAUGUGAAAUCCCGGGGCUCAACCCCGGAACUGCAUCCGAUACUGCCAUGCUAGAGGAUUGGAGAGGUAGCUGGAAUUCUCGGUGUAGCAGUGAAAUGCGUAGAGAUCGAGAGGAACACUCGUGGCGAAAGCGAGCUACUGGACAAUUCCUGACGCUGAGGCUCGAAGGCUAGGGUAGCGAAA